rnacentral:rRNA from 1 species
GAUGAACGCUGGCGGCGUGCUUAACACAUGCAAGUCGAACGAAGCAUUUAGAACGGAUUACUUCGGUUUGAAGUUCUUUAUGACUGAGUGGCGGACGGGUGAGUGACGCGUGGGUAACCUGCCUUGUACUGGGGGAUAGCAGCUGGAAACGGCUGGUAAUACCGCAUAAGCGCACAAUGUUGCAUGACAUGGUGUGAAAAACUCCGGUGGUAUAAGAUGGACCCGCGUCUGAUUAGCUAGUUGGUGAGAUAACAGCCCACCAAGGCGACGAUCAGUAGCCGACCUUAGAGGGUGACCGGCCACAUUGGGACUGAGACACGGCCCAGACUCCUACGGGAGGCAGCAGUGGGGAAUAUUGCACAAUGGAGGAAACUCUGAUGCAGCGACGCCGCGUGAGUGAAGAAGUAAUUCGUUAUGUAAAGCUCUAUCAGCAGGGAAGAUAGUGACGGUACCUGACUAAGAAGCUCCGGCUAAAUACGUGCCAGCCGCCGCCGUAA